UGACUGGAGAGAGAGGUGGGCAGAUCAUUUUUUGCCUCUGCCUCUGGGCAGUGCUGCCUUUCCUGGGCAUGCUCUCACACACCUGCAAUUCAUUGCUCCAUGAAGUGCUGAGUAUUAAAUGACUGGCUGUGGCAGUGAUCCUCUGCCAAAUCGUUGCCUGCACAAUGACGAAGUACUUACCUGUUUUCUCUCAUGGAGUCCAAAGCUCACAGUCAGACUACUCAUCAGCACACUAGCCUUGUGGCUCUCCAUGGAAAAAAGGACUUACCUGAAACUCACCUGCCUACCUACUUUCUGCUGAACUCUUUCCAUCGCCUUUGGAUUCAAACCUGUUCCACAGCAAUCCCUCUCGCAGUGCAGCUCUGUCAGCUCUCAAACUCUCUCUGGUCAUCAGUGUUGAAGUUAGCUCCUGCUCAAUAAAUCUACUGCUGGUGCAUUAUUCAGUCCAGUUUGUAAAUAAAUCUUUUAAACCUUUC